rnacentral:lncRNA from 1 species
UGUCAUUUAAAGGGCUUUUGCAACUUUCCCUCUUUCUCCAGUACAACACUUCUCUGUUCUCUAUUCCUCAAUGGCUACACCUCUUUACAUUGUUGACGACGACGACGAUGUAUGCUCUCUAUAAGAAUUUGAUUGGGAUUCAGCUGUCAAAGAAAUCGAUGAAGCAACAGCCAUCUCCAACAGACCGUCUUCUUCCCAUUUUGCUUCUACUUCUCAUUCUAAUCAACAAAUUAAGGAAGCCCACAAAUACCCUUUUGCUUCUUCUUCUUCUAGACAAUCCACACUUGAUAAAUUUAUCCAAAAUUCCACCAAGAAUGCCGAAAAAUCUAGUCGGGAACAGGAAAAUCGAAAUGGGUUUGGAGCAAGAAACGGAAAUGAAGGCGAAUCUUAUGGGCCUAGUUAUGUUGAGAUUGAUCCGGAGGCUGCAAAAACUUGGAUUUUCCCAGGUUCUUUUUUUCACUGUUUUUUUUUACUUCAAAUAAUCUGUUUUACAUAUUAAUGUUUUAUAGAAGUAAAAAUGUGAGAAGUUAUGUUCUUUUUAGUUUAUGUUUCAUAGAUUCUUCAUUUGAGUUGAUGCAGAUGUCCCAAAUAAUAUGAACUUCGAUUAAGCUGAACGUGUCUGUAUCUGAUGCAAACAUUUACCCUAGUCAGUGUAAACGUAGGAUUUGUUGGCUAAUAUAUAUACCAAUGUAAGUAUAAUGCUUUGAAGAUGUAGGUUUUUGAAUUUUGAAUAUGAAAAGGGAAUUCAAGUGGGUUGUUGGAAAACUUGAAACAUUGGAAAAUCACCAUUGUUGCAAAAUGAGGUUGUUAAAUUUGGUGUUUUUUGACAAAUUAAUAAUUUAGGAUUUGUUCUGUAUGAUAUUUGAAACUAUGUUUCGAAUUCUAGCUCAUUUGGAGUAGCUUUAGGAGUUUAGGUAUUGAAUUGUUGAAAUUUGAAGAACAAGUUGUUUCUAGGAAAAAGUUUGUAUAAACAAAAAUGACAAAACUUCAAGCAUAUGUGCCCUAAAUUCAAGCAAUAAAGGCCAAACUUUAGGCAUAUGUGCCUUGUAUUCAGGCAAAAUUGCCUGAAGUGCUUGCUUUCAGACUUGCUGAAGUUAGACUUUGACAAACCAAACUUCAGAUGCGAAUGUCUCAUGUCAAACAAAACUUUUGCCAAACCAAACUGCAUACACCUCAUGUCAAAAGUUGAUUUUUCACCACAUUUCAAAAGUUGAUCAGACAUUGCGUAUCUGAAGUUGAUUUAAAGCUGAUCCUGUAAACUGUGCACUGCCCCUGGGGUGACAUCGUCUACUUUGGCUCAGGCCUACAUGGUUACCCCUAAAACGCCUAAUACCAUUAAGAGAAUUCAACACCUCAUAAGUAACUUCUUUUUUUUCUUUUUUAUUGUUCGUUUAGGACUUUAUUCACAGGCACCCACAAUCUCCCUCUUGAACCAAGUUCCACAUGAACCAUCACUAUUCAUGGGCUAAUUUGAAGAUUAACUGUGCGACACCCACAUUAUUCAAGUAUUUAUGAACACCAAGCCCACAAUCUUCUUCUUUUUGUGUUGUCUUCAAGCUACGAUUAAAGGUAGUAAACUCGGCCCAUAGGCAUGCAAAGGCAAUAAGUCGAUUGAGUUGUUGAUGGAAUAAAGGAUGCUUUCAAACCUGAAAGAGGUCCAGAUCUUGGAAUUGGGUUAGGAGCAACUAUUGAAUUUGUCUAGUCGAAAGGGAAAGAUGAUGACUAUCAGUUCUGAUUCUUUUUCCAAAGGAAGCGAGUGGAAUACUAGAUAACGAUUAAGGGAGUGACUCUGUCCAAAUAAGCUCUUAAGAAGUGUUGUUUCAGUCGACAAAAAGGGUUUGGAUUGAAAAUGUACCUUUAUUAAAAAAAAGGGGGUUUGAAUUGAAACCAUUCUUAGAUGGAAUCGACUGACUUCUAGUUGCAUCAUAUCGAGAGAUCUGUUGCCAGUUCCGAUAGAAGGAGAGGAGUAAGGUUUAGGCUUUGCCCAAUAGUUGUUGAACCCAAGUUUGGUGAUAAACUGUAGUUGCUUAGUCUUCUAGCAUAGCGGAGUGAGAUAUAUCGAACAAUUAACUUGGACGCCAUGCCAUCACUCCGCUAUCUCUUCCGCCAAACCAUUGGCUCUAAUGCCUUUUGUUGGGGUAAAACAAUAACAUAGUGUGAUAUUAUUUGUUUUGAGCCAAGCCCACAUGGUUUUCCCCAAAAGGCGUGUCCAAGUCUCAUAAGUAGCUUCUUUUUGUUUUCUACUUUUCACUUGGGAGUUUGUUCAUACUCACCCAACAGGUAUAAUAGUUUUAGUUGUUGAUUGGGCUUGUUAGGAAUAUAUACCCCCACCCCAAAUUUUGUUUUUCAAAAAAAAAACAAACAAACUGUUUUCUCAAAAUAAAAAUAGAAAUUUAACCCCCCCCCCCACACACACACAACCAACCCCUAAGUUUUUUCUUUUCCAGAAACAAAAAAAAACUCUUCCAUUUCACAUAUGGAUUCUCAUGUUAGGCCAUUUUGUUCAUAUUUGUAUGAGCUUAAAUAGGUUGAAGACCAUAUUAACCCAUUUAAGAAAAGGAGAGAAAAUAUGAGUGAUCCAUUAAAUUUAAUAUGGGCAAAAUGGUUUCAUUUCACUUAUAUGAGCUGAAAUUGCCACCUCUAAAUAUGAGACUCUCCCUCCUUUCCUUUUAUAGUUUUAAGACUUCUCUUUUUUAAAUUGUAAGUACACUCAGUGUGCUAGCAUAAUACUUAAAUACAGUAGAUUAUGCUGCUUGAAUGAAACUUUUGCUUGGACAAUUAUAAGCUCUAUGAUUUAACUGAUAGUCUUUUACUAUCUUUUAGAUAAAUCAUUGUAGAAGCUUCUUGGAAUGAAGAUUCAUGUUCAUUUACCUUCUUUUUCCUUGCAGUAAAUUUUGAUCGUCGUGAUUAUCAAUUUUCUAUCAUCCGCACUGCUCUUUUUAGCAACACCUUAGUAACAUUACCCACAGGACUUGGAAAGACAUUUAUUGCUGCUGUUGUAAUGUAUAAUUAUUUCAGGUGGUUCCCAGAAGGUAAUGCCAUCUACGACUAUUUUAUUUCUUACUUUUUCAAACUUGUCGCCAUUCUAUUUCCAAGAAUUACUCCUAUUAAGUCUCUACAUUGGAGUGCUAGUUUAUGAGAAGCAAGGUUAGUCUCAGCUGAAUCUGCUGAAAUCUUGAGCUAUACAAGAAUAUUAAGUAGGUGCUUUGAACAUUGUAAUUUACUCUCCGCAUCCUCAUAACUGAGAAAUAUUAUGCAGCAACCAUAUUAGGUCAGAUACUUCAUUCUAUGCAUUUUUCGAGUUUAUGAACAAAGGAGAAAUGAGUUCAUGGCUGAAUCCUGAUGCGCCCUUCAGUUACUGAUGACAGUCC